CCUACGGGAGGCAGCAGUGAGGAAUAUUGGUCAAUGGGCACGAGCCUGAACCAGCCAAGUAGCGUGAAGGAUGACUGCCCUACGGGUUGUAAACUUCUUUUAUAAAGGAAUAAAGUGAGGCACGUGUGCCUUUUUGUAUGUACCUUAUGAAUAAGGAUCGGCUAACUCCGUGCCAGCAGCCGCGGUAAUACGGAGGAUCCGAGCGUUAUCCGGAUUUAUUGGGUUUAAAGGGUGCGUAGGCGGCAUUGUAAGUCAGCGGUGAAAUUCUGUGGCUCAACCAUAGAAUUGCAGUUGAAACUGGGGGUCUUGAGUAUGUUGGAGGCAGGCGGAAUGCGUGGUGUAGCGGUGAAAUGCUUAGAGAUCACGCAGAACACUGAUUGCGAAGGCAGCCUGCCAGGCCAUGACUGACGCUGAUGCACGAAAGCGUGGGGAUCAAACAGGAUUAGAUACCCUUGUAGUC
rnacentral:rRNA from 1 species